rnacentral:snoRNA from 1 species
CGGCGAUGAUGACACUCCAUACAUAGCACGCGUUAGACUGCUGAUCCGGGUGAUGCGAAUCGUAAUCUGAGCCG